rnacentral:lncRNA from 1 species
CCCCUUUUAAGCCUUGUACUUGACAAGCCAAUUUAAGCCUUGCCCUCGAGCAAGCCCCUUUUAAGCCUUGUCUUUGACAAGCCAAUGUAUGCCUUGGCCUCGAGCAAGCCCUUUUAAGCCUUGCCUCGAGCAAACACCAAAAUCUUGGAGCUCAUAAUCAGCACAUCAAAAUAGUGCAGCACAAGUAUAAACACCGAGGACAUAUAUCCCGACCAUAUAUCCUUGUACUUUUGUCCAAGCCUGAAAAUAAAAGCUCGGGAUAAACUCAUGUGCAUAGGUCGGUCACAAUUAUCCCUACUCCUCGGGGACGACAUCCCUUGAACUUAAUCGUCGAGUGUUAAGUGUGUAGAAAACUAUACUGUCCUCGGCAUUAUCACUUGUUUAACAAUUGAGUUAUUCUCAAUCGUCGAGAUGAUUAAUUAGUCGUUGAAAAUAAUUAAUCUUCUUUACUCGUCGAGGUAACUUGUUUAAUGCUCGGGGUCAACAAUGAUGUUCCCAAAUAAUUUACAGUUUGAGUCCUCGGGAUGAAUUUGUGUUCGU